CUCGGCUACACUGUAGACGGGUAAUGGGUGUCACAUAUAAUCUCAACCAGGACAAAACAAGAUGGCUCAGUAGUGCACUUCAGCUCACAGCUCAAAGCAGGAGUGGAGAUUGGAUAAAGCAGAAGUCCUUAUGAAAUAUCACAAGCUAUGUUGUUAAAUAAAUAGAAUCCAGACAAAGAAUAAAGCUUUUUACGCCGUAGUAUGAAGAACAAGAAAUCUGAACUUCUCAUCAAUAGGCAAGAUAGACUUACUAGCCUGAAUGCCUUCAGUGAAUUUGUUCAAUGAAGGAAUAGGAAUGGACCCUGCAGGUGCAGGCGGGUUAACUGAACCAGCAGACUGUGUAGCAGAACAAACAGGAUUUUCAUCGCCAUCUGUUGAAGAAGAGAGCUCGCCUUCUUCUCUGGUUUUGGAGUGGCGCUUAGGUGGAUUAGGGUUUUCAGGAUUAGAGGACAUGGAUUUGGUAUUCUUGAGCUCAUCGGUGGCGUUCUCCAUUUUCUUUCUCUCUCUAUACAAAAAUAGAAGAAGAAUCGUUAGUUUACUUGUUUGGUUUCCGUUUCUCUCUCCCUAGAAAAAUCGACGGUUAGCAGUAGCCAGUGAGAUCUAAAGAUAGAAAGGAAG
rnacentral:misc_RNA from 1 species